rnacentral:lncRNA from 1 species
AAACAGGAAGGGCCCCCUUUUCCCCUCUGCUCCUGCUCUAGCUGCAGAAUGUGAUCCACCAGCAAGGAGGGACGCCAAUAAGGCGUCCGGAGAAGAAAAGCUAUGGAUACCAUCAAAAUUGGAGAAUAAAAGAAUACAACUAAGGAAUCUAAAGACCACCAGACAAAUGAGAUAUCUGAAGAGGGAAGACGAAUCGUGCAGAGAAAAUGUCCCAAGAAAAAGAAUAAAUUGUCCUAAUGGUAUAACACACUUCAAAUGAUAAAAUCUCAUAAAUCUUCCCAAAUAUUUUGUAGACCUAUGAAACAAAUGGCUGUUUUUUUUUUUUGAGUCCCAAUUCAACUAAAAAUUAAAUAUACUUUGAAGUUGGAGCAUGGGUCUCUCCUUCUCUAAACCCAAACAUUCUUGUUAAAGAAAAAUCCAAAAUCUCUGUUUCAUGUCAGAAGAGCCCCUGCUAUGGGACAGAAGAAAAACCAAAAUAAAGAGACUAUUCUAUUGCCACUAAUCUCAUAAUCCU